GUGACCACAUCCCCGGCGCAGAAAACAAAGUGUUUGUUCAACAGUUUUCUCUGCUUUCGUCUUUGAGGUACGAAGGCAUUUACGAUUGAGUAAUAUGAAUUGCUCCCACUCCAGCUUUUCUGAAACGUUCGAAUGGACCCUAAUUUACAGACAACAGCAAGAUAAAAGUCAUGGUCUAAUGAUACGGCUGUGCCCUUUAUCCAGCUGGAUGGGGAUUCUAAGCUCGCAGGCUUCUGGAACCUUGGAACACUGGGGAGACUUAAUUAUAACAGAAUUUUUCCAUAUACCAGACUAAUGCAGGAAUAGAGUAUGGGUAAAUGAGAACACCAAAGCUCCUGGAGUGUGACCUUUUGGACUACAUCCUUGGCACAGACGCAAAGCUUGUUAAAGCUAAUACCUUGUUUAAUGGAACCUUGAAGAUCAAAGGCAGAAGAUCAGGGCAAGCAAGUCUCUUCCAAGACCCUGAAAGUCAUUUUCCUCCUGCACAGUUUUGACGUUCCGCCUCCCCGUUUGUUCUGAGCUGUAAUAGAAUCCUCUUGCUCUAAUUGCAGUCCAACGGAGACAGACAAUGCGUGUGCUUAUUUAUUAAACGCUACAAAGACUGGGAUGAAAAUUAAGAACAGAAUCAAAUCAAAGGCUUAGAUAUUUUAUCAUGCAUACCAUCACCCACAUAGCACAGGUCUGCCAACUGAGAGGGAAAAAAGGAUGAAAGUGCGGGAAGGGACAGAGAAGAUGGUGAGAAGAGAGGAGAGCUUUCUUGCUGAACUGGCCCUUCUCUGCACUCUGCUGACAAUAUUUGAAGACAGUAGAACACAGAAAGAGAGCAGAAGAAAUGCCUAUCUCGGAGUUGACCAGAUGGCUCAGUGGUAAAGGGCUCACUGUAAAAGCCUGAUGACCUGAGUUUGGUCCCUGAGACCCAUGUAAGGUGAAUCACAAUCUGAGCUCUGUGCAUGGACAUCUACAUACAUGACUUGCACAAACAUACACACAAUAUAAUACAUUUUAAGUACAUCUCUCAUCAGUCAAUACAUUGGGUGCCUACCUAUUAUACAAGGGUUGGG
rnacentral:lncRNA from 1 species